rnacentral:rRNA from 1 species
GAUGAACGCUGGCGGCGUGCCUAAUACAUGCAAGUCGAGCGAACGGACGAGAAACUUGCUUCUCUGAUGUUAGCGGCGGACGGGUGAGUAACACGUGGAUAACCUACCUAUAAGACUGGGAUAACUUCGGGAAACCGGAGCUAAUACCGGAUAAUAUUUUGAACCGCAUGGUUCAAAAGUGAAAGACGGUCUUGCUGUCACUUAUAGAUGGAUCCGCGCUGCAUUAGCUAGUUGGUAAGGUAACGGCUUACCAAGGCAACGAUGCAUAGCCGACCUGAGAGGGGGAUCGGCCACACUGGAACUGAGACACGGUCCAGACUCCUACGGGAGGCAGCAGUAGGGAAUCUUCCGCAAUGGGCGAAAGCCUGACGGAGCAACGCCGCGUGAGUGAUGAAGGUCUUCGGAUCGUAAACCUCUGUUAUUAGGGAAGAACAUAUGUGUAAGUAACUGUGCACAUCUUGACGGUACCUAAUCAGAAAGCCACGGCUAACUACGUG